UCCCUGGUGGCUCAGACGGUAAAGCGUCUGUCUUUGAUGUGGGAGACCCAGGUUCGAUCCCUGGUUUGUGAU
rnacentral:tRNA from 1 species